AUAUCUUCUCGGCUUUUUAGCUAAGAUCAUGUUUUUAAAAUGUUCUUAUCAGAGUAACUCCUGAUAUUUGCCUUCGGGCAAUUAGGAAUACGAAAUCUUUGAUCACGCGAGUUUUCCUGGAGUUCCACUCUUUCCAGGCGAAGCUCGCCCUUU
rnacentral:snRNA from 1 species